AUUGAACGCUGGCGGCAGGCUUAACACAUGCAAGUCGAACGAGUGGCGGACGGGUGAGUAAUGCUUGGGAAUCUGGCUUAUGGAGGGGGAUAACGACGGGAAACUGUCGCUAAUACCGCGUACCAUAGGAUGAGCCCAAGUGGGAUUAGCUAGUUGGUGGGGUAACGGCUCACCAAGGCAACGAUACAUAGCCGACCUGAGAGGGUGAUCGGCCACACUGGGACUGAGACACGGCCCAGACUCCUACGGGAGGCAGCAGUAGGGAAUCUUCGGCAAUGGACGGAAGUUGACCGAGCAACGCCGCGUGAGUGAAGAAGGCCUUCGGGUUGUAAAGUUCUUUCGGUGACGAGGCGUUAAUCACAGAAGAAGCACCGGCUAACUCCGUGCCAGCAGCCGCGGUAAUAC
rnacentral:rRNA from 1 species